GUGGGGAAUUUUGGGCAAUGGGCGCAAGCCUGAUCCAGCAAUGCCGCGUGUGUGAAGAAGGCCUUCGGGUUGUAAAGCACUUUUGGCAGGAAAGAAAUAGUGCGUGCUAAUACCAUGCGCGAAUGACGGUACCUGCAGAAUAAGCACCGGCUAACUACGUGCCAGCAGCCGCGGUAAGACGUAGGGUGCAAGCGUUAAUCGGAAUUACUGGGCGUAAAGCGUGCGCAGGCGGUUUUGUAAGACAGGUGUGAAAUCCCCGGGCUCAACCUGGGAACUGCACUUGGGACUGCAAGGCUAGAGUGUGUCAGAGGGAGGUGGAAUUCCGCGUGUAGCAGUGAAAUGCGUAGAGAUGCGGAGGAACACCGAUGGCGAAGGCAGCCUCCUGGGAUAACACUGACGCUCAGGCACGAAAGCGUGGGGAGCAAACAGGAUUAGAUACCCGUGUAGUCC
rnacentral:rRNA from 1 species